rnacentral:rRNA from 1 species
CCUACGGGAGGCAGCAGUGGGGAAUAUUGGGCAAUGGGCGCAAGCCUGACCCAGCAACGCCGCGUGAAGGAAGAAGGCUCUCGGGUUGUAAACUUCUUUUAUCAGGGACGCAGCAAGUGACGGUACCUGAUGAAUAAGCCACGGCUAACUACGUGCCAGCAGCCGCGGUAAUACGUAGGUGGCAAGCGUUAUCCGGAUUUACUGGGUGUAAAGGGCGUGUAGGUGGGAAAGUAAGGCAGAGGUGAAAACCAUGGGCUCAACCUGUGGCCUGCAUUGGAAACUGGUUUUCUUGAGUACUGGAGAGGCAGACGGAAUUCCUAGUGUAGCGGUGAAAUGCGUAGAUAUUAGGAGGAACACCAGUGGCGAAGGCGGUCUGCUGGACAGCAACUGACGCUGAGGCGCGAAAGCGUGGGGAGCAAACAGGAUUAGAUACCCGUGUAGUC